rnacentral:lncRNA from 1 species
CUCUCUCUCUCUCUCUCUCUCUCACACGCACGCACACACGCACACACACACACACACACACACACAACUUCCACCAGCCAAGGACUCUGUGGGAAGGGAACACACUGUUGUAGUCUAACCAGACUCUAACAUGGGAGCAUGAGGUGUGUUGCAGAUUGCAUAAUGCAUGGAACAGGAACAGGGGCAGUGGAGAUUUAGAGCAAAUCUCUCUCUCUUUCCCUCCAUCCCCGCUUCUCUCUCUCUCUCUGUUUGUGAUGGAAAGAUUACAUAAGAGAGGAGUAGAGAUGGAUUCAGGUCGAGGGGUGGAGUGCUGGUGUGACUGAUUAGACCAGACACCCAAAUGGACAGGCUCCGGCUAUGGGAGAAGGGAGCGAGAUUAACCUUGUCCUGCCCAGGGGCAGAGGCACUGCUGGUUGUACGAGCUGUUCGGUCCAUUCCACUCUACUGGACUGUUCUAUCCUAACCCCUGUGUGUACUGCUCCAAAAAUAAACACCGUAAAGGAGAGCGAGAGUAAUCACAUAUGCACCCACACACACACACAUAUGCAUGCACACAGGAACACACACACACACACACACACACACACACAUAUGCAUGCACACAGGACACACACACACACACACACACACACACACACACACACACACACACACACACACACACACACAUAUGCAUGCACACAGGAACACACACACACACAUAUGCAUGCACACAGAUACAUACACACACACACACACACACACACACACACACACACACACACACACACAUGGACGCAUAUGCAUGCACACAGGAACAUACACACACACAUACACACACACACACACAUAUGCACGCACACAGAUACAUACACACACACACACACACACACGCACGCAUAUGCAUGCACACAGGAACAUACAUACAUACACACACACACACACACACACACACACACACACACACACACACACACACACACACACACACACACACACACACACACACACACACAUAUGCAUGCACACAGAUAAAUACAAACACACACACACAUGCACGCAUAUGCGCGCACACAGGAACAUACAUACACACACACACACACACACACACACACACACACACACACACACACAGGAACAUACACACACACACAUAUGCACGCACACAGAUAAAUACAAACACACACACACAUGCACGCAUAUGCGCGCACGCAGGUACAUACACAUACACAUAUAACACACACACACACACACACACACACACACACACACACACACACACACACACACAUAUGCACGCACGCAGGUACAUACACACACACACACAUAUAUGCACGCACGCAGGAACAUACACACACUUUGUGUUCUAUUGAAACGGUCUCUUUUGAGGUAGCAUCUUAGAGCUAAACUUAAAGCAAAAAAUCCCACUAAGAGCCACACUCACACUCUAAUUUCUACUGCUCUCAUAAACACCCAUACUUAGAUAUUUCCCUGGUACUUCUGUGAUGUGUUUAUGUAAUAGAGCUUACUGUAGCAGCUUUGUUGAUGUAGUCCUUGACUGUUCAGUGGAUCACCACGCAUGCAAGGCCUGCUUCAUGAUUCACUCAUGCUUGAAAAUGCUCUUCAGAUGUUGAUGAAACGUCACAACUAUGAAUUUUGACAUGCGAUUUUAAUGCCUUGGUGUUGCUUUAUUAAGCUAGUAGCUUAACUACAUAAGUUAAACCAAAUGUCUUACAUGUAUUUUAAUUCACUGCUUUAGUUGUAAUCCUUUUCUGGUUAACUAAUGUGGUUGUACAGUAACUAAAUGGCAUAGGGGCAUGUUAAAAUGAUGUCCAAAUCUCGACUAAGUUUCCCCCAGUCAUUGUUUCUAGUACUAAAGGUCGAGGGCAGUUGUGUGUGUGUGUGUGUGUGUGUGUGUGUGUGUGUGUGUGUGUGUGUGUGUGUGUGUGUGUGUGUGUGUGUGUGUGUGUGUGUGUGUGUGUGUGUGUGUGUGUGUGUGUGUCUCCGUAAAUGCGUUAGCGUAUGCGUCAAGUGUGUGCGCCGUGUGCGUGUGUGUAUGUACGUGUGAGACAGAGAGUGUUGUUUAGGUUAUGCCAGGUCAACACAUAAUUCCAUAAUAAGGACAACACCAGUGAAGUGGAAGUGACCAUGGGUUCAUUAACUUAAAGUGCUUAAAUAGUGAGGUCCUUAGGCUGUGUUUACAAAGGCAUCCCCAUUCUGAUUAUUUUUCCAUUAAGAAUUGGGCUGACUGUGUAAACGAAGCCUUAUGGUGUCAUCUAUCGUCUGUGUACACAGAAUACAUCAGAAUACAUCAGUCCUACACUGACACCUAGUGGAGAAAAAUCCUCAUUGUAUCACUCUACUGUACGUCAGAAAGUUCUGCGUUGUAGCUCGAUUGAAAUGUAAAGGCAAUGUUUGCCCGUCCGCGGAGACGUUCACAGUAAACCCUGCGUAUGUCCGCUCAAUCUUGAAAUUACCUCUACAGUUUAACCAGGAUCUUCCGCGAUACGGAUUGAAUCCCAGCACUUAGUUGACUUAGGUAGUACUAUUAAAAUAUUCUAAAUCAUGUUUGAUUGUUAAUUAAAUAUACACAACAAAUAAGAUGAAUGAGUAUUUAUGGUGGGGGAGUUCUCUACAAACCAAACUCUUUAGGAGCCUCUCCAACAAUCACUAGAGCAGGGGUCUCUAACCUUUUCUAACAUGAGAGCUACUUUAAAAGAAAAUGAAACAUGUUGUGAACUACUAUUUUUUUUCUAGCUUUCAAACAAAAAUCUGUGAUUUUUUUCUUCUUCUAGCUUUCAAAUAAAAAUGUGUGAUUUUUUUUUUCUUCUCAAAUUAGGUUUUACAUUUCCCAAAUAUGUAUUUUUCCUGUUGUUGAUUUUUUGUCUUUCACUCCCCAAAUUACAAUUGUUCAUAGAGAACAACGAGACUGGAUAUUCUGAGUCCAUGUCAAUAGUUAAAUAAAUCACAUCAGAAGGCCUGUUUUUUGUUGGUCUGGAGGAAAACUAACAAAUAUAUAUUUGAUUGUAAUUCCCCUUUAAUUGUGCACCUGACCCUUAAUUGCGUGAGAAAUGUGCCGUCUAAUGUUGAUUCUGUACUGCUGCUGCUCAUUUCAUGGCAAAGUUUCCAAACAACAAAUAAUAGAUACAUAUUAUAUACUUACUCAUGGUUGCAGUUAACAUUUCAUUGAGAAGGUUUUGGGGAAAGUAUUUCUGUCAACCCACAAGACGGUUAUCACAUCAACUGGCUACACACAGAGUGGUUGACAAACGCGCCCACCACAUAGACAGACAGAGGCAAUAUUGCUGGAAAUGAAUAGGCAGAUAUUGUGUUAGGUUUGUCUUUUUAAGCCAGUAGUGGCUAACCAGGGGUGGGAUAAUGUCAAUGUUGCAUUGAUUAUAGUAGCUGGGACCUUGCGGUGUUGGA